rnacentral:rRNA from 1 species
UACAGGGGGGGCAAGCGUUGUUCGGAAUUACUGGGCGUAAAGGGCUCGUAGGCGGCCAACUAAGUCACACGUGAAAUCCCUCGGCUUAACCGGGGAACUGCGUGUGAUACUGGAUGGCUUGAGUUUGGGAGAGGGAUGCGGAAUUCCAGGUGUAGCGGUGAAAUGCGUAGAUAUCUGGAGGAACACCGGUGGCGAAGGCGGCAUCCUGGACCAAUACUGACGCUGAGGAGCGAAAGCCAGGGGAGCAAACGGG